rnacentral:lncRNA from 1 species
AUGUUGUACAUUGUGGAUCAGUUGAUUCAUAAAGAUGGAACCAUGUGUAUGCCCUUCCACUACUUUUAUAUUUUUCAUCCAGUUCGUUGUUGGUUAUUCAUUUUAUUUGUCACUUUUGUUACCAAUUGGUACAUAAACCGGUGCUGGUGGUGAUUCAUGCAUUUAGAUAGUGGCCUUAGGAGUCAAAAUCAACCAGCUCUGCUACUGUAAAUUGGAAUGCGGGGGAGUAUAUAGAAAUUCUUGGAAAAUGGUACAGCUGAACAAGAUGUGCGUAUCUAGGACGCCUCAAAGUCAGGACUGAAAAUCCCUUUUCAGUAACUAUACUAAGGCCUUGUUUAGUUCCAAAAUAUUUUACAAAAUCGGUAGUGUAGCUCUUUCGUUUGUAUUUGACAAAUAUUGUCCAAUCAUGGACUAACUAGGCUUAAAAGAUUCGUCUCGUCAAUUUCGACCAAACUGUGCAAUUAGUUUGUAUUUUUGUCUAUAUUUAAUACUUUAUGCAUGUGUCUAAAGAUUCGAUGUGACGGGGAAUCUGAAAAAUUUUGCAAAAUUUUUUGGGAACUAAACAAGGCCUAAUAAAACUUUCAAGUUUUAAUCAUUCACAACCACUUCCCAAAAUGCCAACUUUAGUUUCCACAUAGCAUCUAGUGCACGAUGGGUACAAACUGUUGAUCAAAUAGUGUUUCAGUGAGGUGUGAGGACUUCAUUUCCUUCUGAAAUGACGUGAGAACCUAAUUUCCUUAUGAAAUGAUGUGAGAACUUUAUUCUCCAAUAUCUCUACUGGCGUGUACCCAAAGCUUGUGGCAUUGGCCAUAGUGCCAUUCCACCAUCAAACAUGGAACUCGCCACUUGUGCGUCCAAACUCUGUUUCCUGUGCUUGCAACUUAGGUUGACCA